rnacentral:rRNA from 1 species
AUUGAACGCUGGCGGCAGGCCUAACACAUGCAAGUCGAGCGGAUGAAGGGAGCUUGCUCCUGGAUUCAGCGGCGGCCGGGUGAGUAAUGCCUAGGAAUCUGCCUGGUAGUGGGGGAUAACGUCCGGAAACGGGCGCUAAUACCGCAUACGUCCUGAGGGAGAAAGUGGGGGAUCUUCGGACCUCACGCUAUCAGAUGAGCCUAGGUCGGAUUAGCUAGUUGGUGGGGUAAAGGCCUACCAAGGCGACGAUCCGUAACUGGUCUGAGAGGAUGAUCAGUCACACUGUAACUGAGACACGGUCCAGACUCCUACGGGAGGCAGCAGUGGGGAAUAUUGGACGAUGGGCGAAAGCCUGAUCCAGCCAUGCCGCGUGUGUGAAGAAGGUCUUCUGAUUGUAAAGCACUUUAAGUUGGGAGGAAGGGCAGUAAGUUAAUACCUUGCUGUUUUGACGUUACCAACAGAAUAAGCACCGGCUAACUUCGUG